AACGAACGCUGGCGGCAUGCCUAACACAUGCAAGUCGAACGGGAUCCGGCCUUCGGGCCGGUGAGAGUGGCGGACGGGUGAGUAACGCGUGGGAACCUGCCCAUUGGUCUGGGAUAACUGCGGGAAACUGCAGCUAAUACCGGAUGUACCCGCGAGGGGAAAGAUUUAUCGCCGAUGGAGGGGCCCGCGUCAGAUUAGGUAGUUGGUGAGGUAACGGCUCACCAAGCCUACGAUCUGUAGCUGGUCUGAGAGGAUGAUCAGCCACACUGGGACUGAGAUACGGCCCAGACUCCUACGGGAGGCAGCAGUGGGGAAUAUUGGACAAUGGGGGCGAACCCUGAUCCAGCAAUGCCGCGUGAGUGAUGAAGGCCUUAGGGUUGUAAAGACUCUUUUGCCAGGGACGAUGAUGACGGUACCUGGAGAAUAAGCCCCGGCUAACUUCGUGCCAGCAGCCGCGGUAAGGUCGUCAUGU
rnacentral:rRNA from 1 species